rnacentral:lncRNA from 1 species
GAGGGGCUCCUCCCCAGGUAGCCCUGGGAAGGAUAAUCCCACAUGGAGGUUUCCAUUUGGAGCACCUGGACAAUGUGGGGAAUCACAGCAAGAGAGCAAAGCUAUACUGGGAACCGGGAAUGAUUCAACUGGGGGUGCUGAAGACUCCGGGAUCAGCUCAGGAUCGUGCAGGAUCUUUCUGGCAAGCACUACACUCUCCUGGGUUUCGAUGCUGUGAGAAUUACGAUUCAUCCAGAGUUCAAGCCUUUGGUUAAGACAAUGUCCUCAGGGUUAUGAGGGAGCAAUCAGCAUCUGCCAAGCGGCGAGAGUACCAAAGCUGCCAUUAGUAUUUCCCGAAUCUAAAUGCUUUGAUUUCCUCCUCACCUCUGAAGGACGAUCCUGCACAGCAGCUGCAUCAACACAGAUACUGCUGUGGGGUUGUUGCCUUCUGCAAGAGUACCUGGGACCCUCCACCAAAACCUUCUGCCUUCCUGCUAAAUGAUUGAAGAAUAUCUUGUAAAUCAUUUACCUCUCCCUGCUGCUGGCUUUCUGUUGAUAGUGUUUACUCUGCUUCCAACACGACGGCAAAGUUAAAUUUUCAUCUUGCAGAAAAAAAAUAAAUAAAAAGAACAAAAU